rnacentral:tRNA from 1 species
CGGUGCAUAGAGGAGUCUGGUCUACCCCGCCUGUUUUGGGAACAGGAAAUCGCUGGUUCGAAUCCAGCUGCGCCGA